rnacentral:rRNA from 1 species
UACGGGGGGGUGCGAGCGUUGUCCGGAUUCACUGGGCGUAAAGGGCUCGUAGGCGGUCUGUCGCGUCGGGAGUGAAAUCUCCGGGCUUAACUCGGAAAGGUCAACUGAUACUGUGCGACUAGAGUGCAGAAGGGGCAACUGGAAUUCUCGGUGUAGCGGUGAAAAUGCGCAGAUAUCAGGAGGAACACCGGUGGCGAAGGCGGUUCUCUGGGCAUGUCCUGACGCUGAGGAGCGAAAGUGUGGGGAGCGAACAGG